GUCUGUAGCUAUAUCACCCUGAACAUGCUCAAUGUUGUCUGAUCUUGGAAGCUAAGCAGGGUCCAGCCUGGGUAGUACUUGGAUGGGAUACUGCCUGGGAAUACUGAAUGCUGUAGGCU
rnacentral:rRNA from 1 species